rnacentral:rRNA from 1 species
GAUGAACGCUGGCGGCGUGCCUAAUACAUGCAAGUCGAGCGAACAGACGAGGAGCUUGCUCCUCUGACGUUAGCGGCGGACGGGUGAGUAACACGUGGAUAACCUACCUAUAAGACUGGGAUAACUUCGGGAAACCGGAGCUAAUACCGGAUAAUAUAUUGAACCGCAUGGUUCAUUAGUGAAAGACGGUUUUGCUGUCACUUAUAGAUGGAUCCGCGCCGCAUUAGCUAGUUGGUAAGGUAACGGCUUACCAAGGCGACGAUGCGUAGCCGACCUGAGAGGGUGAUCGGCCACACUGGAACUGAGACACGGUCCAGACUCCUACGGGAGGCAGCAGUAGGGAAUCUUCCGCAAUGGGCGAAAGCCUGACGGAGCAACGCCGCGUGAGUGAUGAAGGUCUUCGGAUCGUAAAACUCUGUAAUUAGGGAAGAACAAAUGUGUAAGUAACUAUGCACGUCUUGACGGUACCUAAUCAGAAAGCCACGGCUAACUACGUG